UACAGAGGGUGCGGGCGUUAAUCGGAAUUACUGGGCGUAAAGGGUGCGUAGGUGGUUUUGUAAGUUAGGUGUGAAAUUCCUGGGCUUAACCUGGGGACUGCGCCUAAUACUGUAAGACUAGAGUACUGUAGAGGAAAGUGGAAUUUCCGGUGUAGCAGUGAAAUGCGUAGAUAUCGGAAGGAACAUCAGUGGCGAAGGCGACUUUCUGGACAGAUACUGACACUGAGGCACGAAAGCGUGGGGAGCAAACAGG
rnacentral:rRNA from 1 species